GCGACAGCUCGGGAUAAAUUGGCUCCGGAUGAGAUGGCGUCGUUAUUAUUUAGUAGCACGAAGAAAUACGUAAAAGAACAAGUGAAAUUAAAGCCGGAGCGGUGAUAAGAAUGACGGCGCGAAGAAUCGUGAGAUUAGUAUUGUACAGAGAUACUACAAUUCUGCUAUUGCGUAUCGUGUGUGAGUGCGACCUAAUAAGAAUCCGAUAACUUGAGGAGGUAAAGGAAGAAAUUUGAAAGUCUGAAAACAGGAA